UCCCCGUUACCGAGGCGGUAUCGUUAGAAAAAUCCAACUAACGAAAAGGGUUGCGCUCGUUAAGGGACUUAACCCAACAUCUCACGACACGAGCUGACGACGGCCAUGCAUCACCUGUCACUUGGUUCCAAAGGCACAGUCUACUUUCGUAGUCCUUCCAAGGAUGUCAAGUCUGGGUAAGGUUCUUGGCUUAUCAUCCAAUUAAACAACACACUCCACCGCUUGUGCGGGUCCCCGUCAAUUCCUUUGAGUUUUAAUCUUGCGACCGUACUCCCCAGGCGGGAUGCUUAACGCGUUAGCUUCGUUUCGGAAGGGGUCGAUACCUCCCAAUAACUAGCAUCCAUCGUUUACGGCGUAGACUAC
rnacentral:misc_RNA from 1 species